CGGACCGGCGCACGGGUGAGUAACACGUAUCCAACCUGCCCACCACUUGGGGAUAACCUUGCGAAAGUAAGACUAAUACCCAAUGAUAUCUCUAGAAGACAUCUGAAAGAGAUUAAAGAUUUAUCGGUGAUGGAUGGGGAUGCGUCUGAUUAGCUUGUUGGCGGGGUAACGGCCCACCAAGGCAACGAUCAGUAGGGGUUCUGAGAGGAAGGUCCCCCACAUUGGAACUGAGACACGGUCCAA
rnacentral:rRNA from 1 species